GACGUAGGGCGCGAGCGUUGUCCGGAUUUAUUGGGCGUAAAGAGCUCGUAGGCGGCUUGUCGCGUCGAAUGUGAAAUCUCGGGGCUCAACUCCGAGCUUGCAUUCGAUACGGGCAGGCUAGAGUUCAGUAGGGGAGACUGGAAUUCCUGGUGUAGCGGUGAAAUGCGCAGAUAUCAGGAGGAACACCGAUGGCGAAGGCAGGUCUCUGGGCAUUAACUGACGCUGAGGAGCGAAAGCAUGGGGAGCGAACAGG
rnacentral:rRNA from 1 species